CAGUCAUCUUCCCACUGCCCCUUGACUGAACGCAGCACAGAGAAAGGGCCGUCGGGGUCCCAGAUGUGAGAGUCCAGAGGUCUGGCUUGGUGCCGCCUCCUAUGGGCCACGAUCCCUCUAGGUGGAAAUGCUGGGACUGAGGCCGUGGCCCUCCGGAUCUUCCACGAGGUUCUGCACCUGCGCUCACCGUUCCCACGAACACACGUCUGCCUUCACCUGUCUUCCCUACACUCCCGGCCUCAGCCUGAGCAGGGGGUCUAAGCUUUGGGACCUGAUGGCUCAGGGUCCCAACACGGAACGGGACCAGUCAGCUCCCUCUGAACCCAGCUUAACCAAAACACACUUGGAGGCGAAUUACGUGGGCUCCCUGGGCUGACAGUCCAGGUGUUUAUUUCCAGAAGUUCAUAGCAUGCAAGUACAACAGACGUAGAAAUGAACAGCUUUGUAUAAGUGCUUCCAAUGUGAACUUUUCAAAUGCAUUUUUACUAUUAAUAAAAAAAAAAAUCCUGACUUCCUAGAAAUAAAAAUAAAGAGAUAGUUUCCUAAAUUCAACGCCCAACGCACUUUAGACCAUACCCCAUCUUGUCCCCCUACCCCCUACCCCCUACCCACCCCCGGCAACAAUUUUGGUGGCCGUUGGAUGAGAAUAUGCCCCAUGAACCUUUGCGGGACAAUUAUAAAUAAACAUUUAGACAAAACUGCACUUUCCUUGGCUGGACCGAUGUCCUGACUCUUCACCCCUCUGACUCAAGUUGGUGUCUCCUCGUCUCUACCUCUUUGUUAAGGCACGCAGCAUUUCUGGAACGCAAACACAGUCUCUCAGAUUAAAUUUGGCAGCUGCUUUUGCAGAGAAAGGGAAGCGAAUCAAUGCAGAAUUUUAAAUGCUAUGAUCUUGAUCUUGGCAACUGGCCUUCGCAAAUUGUCGACUCCAGUGGAAUAUGGAGGGGGGAAAAAAAAAGCAGAAACACCUGUUCCCAUAAUGAGUAUGUGGUGAAACAGCACCAGAUGGUCCAAACGUCGUGUCCCAGCCCCCAUGAUGACUGUGCUGGUGACUAGCCAGCGCGAGGCCGCUGCCACUGGCCGCCGACUCGGGGCUGGAUGCUGCCUCAACACAGCCUUCGGAAGACGUCAUCUCCAUUCGCACCAGCUCCAAGGAAGGCAGAUUAGGCGAGCGCCUGAUGUCCCCUGGAAUGUGGACAGGGACCAGAAACCCACCGUGCACCAGGCAGGAGUCAGACCCACCUGCCAGCCCCGUCCCGUGAGCGGCGUGGUGGCCCAGAGUGCAGUGUGCCGCACAGCUGAGGAUCAUCUAGAAGGGCGUAAAGAAUGCAUCUGAAAUGUGUUCUGAUGCAGUGAGCAGGAAGCAGUGCACAGUACAGAGAUGUAGACAGCACUCCGUCAUCACAGUCAUGCUUGCCGACAGACCAGAGCUUAGUGAUUCUAGCCACUGAAAAGAGGAUAAUUAUGUAAUGCGACAGAGGUGCUAAUUAUCGCCACGAUGUCCAUCGCCACGAUUAACAAGGGCACCAAAUUAACAUGUCCGAUACCGCAAAUGUGCACAAUGCUCCAUGUCAAACGUAUCUCAGUAAAAAUAAAUAAACAGAUAAAAUGGA